CAGGAUUCCCCUAGUAACUGCGAGUGAAGCGGGAAGAGCUCAAAUUUAAAAUCUGGCAGUCUCUGGCUGUCCGAGUUGUAAUUUAGAGAAGUGUUGCCCGCGCUGGACCGUAUACAAGUCCUCUGGAAUGGGGCGUCAUAGAGGGUGAGAAUCCCGUCUUUGAUACGGACUACCAGUGCUUUGUGGUGCGCUCUCGAAGAGUCGAGUUGUUUGGGAAUGCAGCUCAAAAUGGGUGGUAAAUUCCAUCUAAAGCUAAAUAUAGGCGAGAGACCGUUAGCGAACAAGUACCGUGAGGGAAAGAUGAAAAGGACUUUGGAAAGAGAGUUAAACAGUACGUGAAAUUGCUGAAAGGGAAACGCUUGAAGUCAGUCGCGUUGUACAAGAAUCAGCCUUGCUUUUGCUUGGUGUACUUUUUGUUCGACGGGUCAGCAUCAGUUUUGACCAUUGGAUAAGGGCUAGGGAAAUGUGGCAUCUUCGGAUGUGUUAUAGUCUCUGGUCGUAUACAGUGGUUAGGACUGAGGAACUCAGCACGCCGCAAGGACGGGUCUGUUGACUACUUUCCUGGUUUAGAAUGCGGGCUUAUGGCUUUUAUUCAACCGGCCUGGAACCACGAACCAGGGAUCCUACCUUGCUGGCAAUUGUUGGGUUGAAAAACCCAACGCCGUAUUGAAGUUGAAAGUGAAAACUUCUGUCUGGAAAAGCAUCGACGCCCCUUACUUGAUGUUUACUGAACGAAUAUGCGUAAAGCAUUGUAUGUUGGGACCCGAAAGAUGUGACUAUGCUUGAAUAGGUGAGCAGAGGAACUUCUGUGAGGCUCGUACGAUCUGCGUGCAUCGAUCGUCGAUCGGUAUAGGCGAGACUAUCGACAUCUA
rnacentral:rRNA from 1 species